rfam:Dipodomys ordii contig_49431, whole genome shotgun sequence.
UGGCUUAGUGGUAAAGUGCUUGCCUAGCAUGCAUGAAGCCCUGGGUUCGACUCCUUG